CGCGCCUGCAGGAACUGGUAGA
rnacentral:miRNA from 1 species